UCCUUACACUUUUAUCAAAAUGAUUUAAUUGAAAGGUUGAGUUUAGCCCAGGACACUCAGGGCACACGGCAGGGUAUAGCAUGCACUGGAUGGCAAUCUAUCAUAUAGCACAAUUGCACACACACUUGCACCCCUUCACACACCAUGGACAAUUUAGAGCUGCCAAUCAGCCUACAAUGCAUGUCUCAGAAAUGGUGGAGGAAUCCGGAAAACCCAAAAGAAACUGCCAUGGCAAAGAAAAAACAUGCACACUCCAAACACACCUGGGGAGGCUGCAAUCACUUGCCAAACCUGGAGGUGUGCUUAAUACCAAGCCUCAUUUAUUUAUUUAUUUGUUUGUUUAUUUAUUUCAGUUUUAGUACAUAAUCUCAUAAAAAUCCACCAUUAAAUUAAACAGACCAACAAAUACUUCACACUGACCUUUCCAGAUUAACCAGUUAGACAGAGUCAGUACACGUGAGCAACACAACUCAGCAACUCCAUUUUGUGACAAGGGUUUGAUUUAACACACCAAGUGUCUUGUUCUGUUAUCUGGAGAAGGAGAAAUGACCAAUGCUCCAACAUGAGCGUGUCUGAAAAACAGGACUUAAACAAAUAUGAGAGUAUUAUUGGAGGUAAGAGAUCAGACUCACCAGACCCCAGCUGACAGAGACAGAGACUGUUCUGCUGUUUGUUCACAGAACAAAAAAGAAAUUAAACAUCAGAAGAAAUAAGUUGGAGUCCAUAUUCAAGGAGCUGGGACACAAAGUCAUCACUCUGAUGAGCUGAAGAGGUUUAAAGAGCUCCUGAGCUCCUGAGUCCAGAGGGAAUCUGCUUCCCUCUGCUCUCCUUUGGAUAACCUCUCGACCAGGAGCAGCCAAUCAGAUCCCUCCUGAGUGUGUAGACCAGGUAACAGAGUUACGAGGCUUCAGUGAUCCUCAGAAAGAGGAAUACUUCGGGAAGAGGAUCAGUGAUCAGAGCCUGGCCAAUAAAAUUAUCAAUCAUCAAUAAAAUCAUGUCUGAUUUCCAAGGCUUUGCAGAGUGAGAAUGGAUACCUGGACCUGUUCCUUCGCUUCCUUCUGGGUCUCUCACUGGAAUCCAAUCAGACUCUUUUACAGGGCUUAAUGCCAUAGACAGAAACCAGCUCUCAAAGCAAACAGGAAACAGUUAAGUACAUCAAAAUGAAGAUCAGGGAGAAUCCAUCUCCAGAGAAAUCCAUCAAUCUGUUCCACUGUCUAAAUGAACUCCAUGAUCAUUCUCUAAUUCAGGAAGUGCAAAUGUACCUGAAUAGAGGAAAUUACAGGUGUCUUACUGGAACCAGACUCUCUCCUGCUCAGUGGUCAGCUCUGGUGUUUGUGUUAUUAAACUCAGAACAGGAGGUGUUUGAUUUGAGUAAAUUUGACCCAUCAGAGGAGUGUCAAAUCCUCCAGAAAAGCUGUGUGAAUAUUUUUGUAGUAUAAAUAUUUCUGUAUGGUGUUUAAAUAAACCUCUGCACAAUUAUGUAUUUCUCUAUAAUUGAUGAAAAAAGUGAUUUACACAAAAUAACUGCAUGCAUUAAUGACUGCUUUUUUGUGAAAGACACUUUUUCCUUUAUUGUUUUAUUUGGAACGACAUUGAACAGAACUACCACAAAUAAAAACAAGAAAAACACAAUACAGUCAAUACUGGAUAUAAUUAAAAUUUAGAAAUAUAUGAGCCCAGAGAAGAAUACACAUCAACUGUUUUGCUGUCUCUUUGAAAUUCAGCAUGUAAUUCACUGUUAAGUAAUGCCGGGUUCACACUGCAUGACUUUUCAGUCGCCGACUAGUUUUGUAAAAUGAAGGCAAAGUGGAGCGCGUGCACACGAGUGUUAAUCGCUCAGUGUGAAUGACCAAAAACUCCAUCUGACCGAAUCGCUGAUGAGUCGCCGACUCCCGUGAAAUAUUUGGCAUGCUAAAUAGCUGGACCUGUCAGCAACUCAAAGUCGUGCAGUGUGAAAGGAGUUCUGACUGAAACAUACCUUGGUGAUGACCUACAGCCAUUGAGAGAGCAAGAUACAGGACAGCGGUCAGUCCGGGGAGGGUUUAUAGACCACAAUAUCAGAAAGCAUGGCAUCGGUUGGGGCAUAAUACUAUAGUUUAAUAGAAUUUAUAGGUUUUUAUCAGACAAAAAUGUCUCAAAUAUAGUUAUAUCAGAAUAAAUAAGCUUUACAAUUACAUCAAACAGAAAUAUUUGCUUGACCAGCCGCAUUAGCAGCAGCACAUUGCAAAAUUAUUCAUCUGUUCAAUUAUGCAGAACGCACAAUCCUUGUUUCCCGCACUGGACAAACUUUUUGCGGGAUAACAUUUCAAGUCUCGCACGAGAUCUCUGACAUCACGUGUGAUCUGCCAUUAUUUCCUUAUUAUUUUAUGCGUACGUUCGGUUAAACGUAGUUUCCGUACCAGACAGAGAUGUCGGUGAUUCUUCCUACUGUGAAGUCAUGCAGUGUGAAAGCUCCUGUCACCAAUCCAUCGUGCAGUGUGAACACAGCAGAGACUAAAUGCUACCCUAGAUAGUCGUGCAGUGUGAAAACAACCAUUAUCCGAUGACUGUGGAAAUUGUGCAGUGUGAACCCGGCAUAAGACUAGUGUGUACAGUUCUAUAAUUUUUUUUAUUUAUUGUAAUAAAAUGCACUAUAUCUGCAGUGUUAGUUGUAGAAACAUGAACACAGAUCAGUAUGUAGCUGAGAGAAUGUGGAAUGUAGAAAGAUGUCCCUGCUUAUGUAAAUGUUCUGAUGCUCUUAUCUCUUAUCCCCUUAUCUUUGUGUGUGAAUAAACAUGUCAUGGAUGGCUUGGUUAAUUCCCUCUUGGAACAUCAGGGGGCAUUCCAGCAGGGGUUUGUUAUACCCUGUGCCAUGUGUCUUUAUUUAUGUUUUGUGUUCUCACGUGUUUUGCCCUGCCCGAUCCUUAGCCCAUUCCCACCUCUGCACACUUGUCCCUUGGGUUUCACUAAUUACCUCCCCGAUUUAUACCGGUUGUCUUGCAUGUGUUGUUUGCUGAGUCCUUGUCAUUGGGUGCUGUUUUGUUACUCAGUGUUCUCUGUUUUAUCUUGUUGGUUUUGUAUCUUGUUCUGUAUUUUAAUUCCUAGU